CCUACGGGGGGCAGCAGCAGGGAAUCUUCCACAAUGGGCGAAAGCCUGAUGGAGCAACGCCGCGUGGGUGAAGAAGGUCUUCGGAUCGUAAAACCCUGUUGUUAGAGAAGAAAGUGCGUGAGAGUAACUGUUCACGUUUCGACGGUAUCUAACCAGAAAGCACCGGCUAACUACGUGCCAGCAGCCGCGGUAAUACGUAGGUGGCAAGCGUUAUCCGGAUUUAUUGGGCGUAAAGGGAACGCAGGCGGUCUUUUAAGUCUGAUGUGAAAGCCUUCGGCUUAACCGGAGUAGUGCAUUGGAGACUGGGAGACGUGAGUGCAUAAGGGGAGAGUGGAACUCCAUGUGUAGCGGUGAAAUGCGUAGAGAUGUGGAAGAACACCAGUGGCGAAAGCGGCUCUCUGGUAUGUAACUGACGCUGAGGUUCGAAAGCGUGGGUAGCAAACAGGAUUAGAUACCCGGGUAGUC
rnacentral:rRNA from 1 species